rnacentral:lncRNA from 1 species
GACAGGAAAAACGAUAGCCGGUUAGUCACCGCACAAUCCUUAAACCGAAAGUAAACCCUAGGUCUUUCCCUAAACCCAGCGCACUGGUCUCUAACAUCUCAAAGGCAUGAUAUCGAAAGAUAAGAGAUUCUUAAACCACGCCUCUAUGUUUACGUUCGACACCUUCAGCACCCCCGCAGAGUUCACAUCUCACGGAAGAACUCCCGAAACAGGCCUCGAACAAAACAUUCCACAAAUCGAAGAAGGAUAUGAGACGACAACUCAUCACCUUCCUCCCCACUAUUCACAAAUUCAUAAGAAAAACGUUAUCCGAUUAUCAUACGAUAAAGCCGCGGAGCGACAGGGAUUCAAAGCCACACACGGCCAGUCCCGAAAUACAAACAAGGCCAUUCAAGGCCGAAACAUAAAGACAUAAAAAAAAAAAACAUCUCUCGCAAGAGAUCUAACCCAAGUCACCCUCAGAACUUACGCCCCCUCUUCACCCGCCGCCUCGUCCGAGCCUGGAGCCGCGUCGCUUCCGUUCUCUCCGACCAUCGGAUCUUUCCCCUCUGGGUCUUCUGAACACGUCGGAAGGAAGCAAGCGGAUUUUAGGUCGGCCAGGAUGAGACCGAAAUCGCCAUCCUCGGCCGCCAUAUCUCCCUUGCAGCCGGACAGUCGGGCCUCUUCGGCCUCCAAGGUCGG